rnacentral:rRNA from 1 species
UACAGAGGGUGCAAGCGUUGUUCGGAAUCAUUGGGCGUAAAGGGCGUGUAGGCGGUCUGUUAAGUCAUGUGUGAAAUCCCUCGGCUUAACCGGGGAACUGCGUCUGAUACUGGAUGGCUUGAGUUUGGGAGAGGGACGCGGAAUUCCAGGUGUAGCGGUGAAAUGCGUAGAUAUCUGGAGGAACACCGGUGGCGAAGGCGGCGUCCUGGACCAAUACUGACACUGAGUGAGCGAAAGCCAGGGGAGCAAACGGG